CUAAAGUGGAAGUAUAAUAGGAAGUCCUAUUCUACCAUUCCCGGAAGGAGAAAAGCUAGAAACAUCUGGGAAUCAGCACCAAUCACAGACAUAUUAUAAGAGGACUGUGCUAGACACUCUUAGUGAUGCAGAGAUAAAGAAAACCUUGUGACCGUGCAGGUCUCAAGCCUUUUCAGAGAUCCCUGAAGAGUUUGUAGAAACUCUAGAGCUUUGGGCCCAUGAUAGCUUUAAAGCUGGAAUUCCAAUGAGUCUGACUGUCUUCCUUACCCCAUGCUUUUAACCAUGAUUUCACUAAAAUAUCUCUUUGCACUAUUGAGAGUUCUCAAAGUGUGGUCCUUGGACCAGCAUUACCUGGAAAUUGUCAGAAAUGCAAAUUCUAGAUUCCCAUUCCAGACCUACUGAAUCAAGAACUUGGACUUGGGCUGAGUAAGCUGUGUUUUUAUAAGCUCUCCAGGUGAUUCUGAUGCACACUCAAGUUGAGAACCUGCUUUAUAAU
rnacentral:lncRNA from 10 species